rnacentral:rRNA from 1 species
UGGUAGUCCACNCCGUAAACGCUGAGUGCUAGGUGUUAGGUCCUUUCCGGGACUUAGUGCCGACGCUAACGCAUUAAGCACUCCGCCUGGGGAGUACGACCGCAAGGGUGAAACUCAAAGGAAUUGACGGGGGCCCGCACAAGCGGUGGAGCAUGUGGUUUAAUUCGAAGCAACGCGAAGAACCUUACCAGGUCUUGACAUCCCGAUGCCCGCUCUAGAGAUAGAGUUUUACUUUUUGUACAUCGGAGACAGGUGGUGCAUGGUUGUCGUCAGCUCGUGUCGUGAGAUGUUGGGUUAAGUCCCGCAACGAGCGCAACCCUUAUUGUUAGUUGCCAUCAUUAAGUUGGGCACUCUAGCGAGACUGCCGGUAAUAAACCGGAGGAAGGUGGGGAUGACGUCAAAUCAUCAUGCCCCUUAUGACCUGGGCUACACACGUGCUACAAUGGUUGGUACAACGAGUCGCAAGCCUGUGACGGCAAGCUAAUCUCUGAAAGCCAAUCUCAGUUCGGAUUGUAGGCUGCAACUCGCCUACAUGAAGUCGGAAUCGCUAGUAAUCGCGGAUCAGCACGCCGCGGUGAAUACGUUCCCGGGCCUUGUACACACCGCCCGUCACACCACGAGAGUUUGUAACACCCGAAGUCGGUGAGGUANCCAUUUAUGGG